GUUGCUGAUCUUCCUCCUCCUUUGCCUCGCUGUCACGCUCUGUAUCGUCAUAGAAAGACCUUCAGGAUUCAUAUUGCUCCCAACGUGGAAAAACUCAGGUUGUGCCGCCGAAAAGUUUAAUGAUCCGUUAGGUUCAUCGGCGAAAGCAUUGGUUGUUGGUUCGUUUCCGGCAUUGUAAUAAAAUUGAUCUACAGGUGGUACGCAUGCACGAUCGUGAAAAUCAUGCAUCCAUCGUCGUCGAUAUCAACG
rnacentral:lncRNA from 1 species